rnacentral:rRNA from 1 species
AACGAACGCUGGCGGCAUGCCUAACACAUGCAAGUCGAACGAGACCUUCGUUUCUAGUGGCGCACUGGUUCUUCACUCUUUUUAACCUGCCCUUAUUUUCGGAAUAACUCCCCUCAAUUUUUUCUCAUACCGUCUCAUUUCUUCUUACCAAAGAUUUCUCUCCUUUGGAUGGGACCUCUUUGGCUUCUCUCUUUGGUAGGGUAAAAGCCUACCCAGGCUCCGAUCCAUAGCUGGUCUGAGAGGAUGAUCAGCCACACUGGGACUGCGACACGGCCCAGACGCCUACGGGAGGCAGAAGUGGGGAAUAUGGGAAAAUGGGCGAAAGACUGAUCAAGAAAUGACGCGUGAGUGAUGAAGGCCUGAGGGUUGUAAAGAUCUUUUACCAGGGAUGAGAAUGACAGUACCGGGAGAAUAAGAUCCGGCUAACUCCGUG